AUCUCUUGGCCUUUUGGCUAAGAUCAAGUGUAGUAUCUGUUCUUAUCAGUUUCUAAUCUUGAAACAAUCAAUUAUAUUAUUUUCUUCUCCUU
ensembl:snRNA U2 U2 spliceosomal RNA